UGGCUCGAAAGAGCUUAAAUAAAGUGUAACAGUGAAUUAAAUAAAACUGAAGAGUUAUUGAUAAUGGUUACUGAGUUGAUAGUUAUUUCAGGAUUGGUUAACACUAAGCUGUUAUAAAAGGUCUACAGCAACACAGUUGCAUAACCUUAGCAGUUAUGUAGCUGCAAAACUUUAAAUUAACUGCAUUUAACUUAGGAUGAAAAUCAG